GCCGCCUUAGUUCAAAGGUAGAACUCCGGUCCUCCAAACCGGUAAUGCGGGUUCGACUCCCGCAGGCGGCUCCA
rnacentral:tRNA from 1 species